rnacentral:rRNA from 1 species
CCUACGGGGGGCUGCAGUGGGGAAUAUUGCACAAUGGGCGCAAGCCUGAUGCAGCCAUGCCGCGUGUGUGAAGAAGGCCUUCGGGUUGUAAAGCACUUUCAGCGGGGAGGAAGGCGUUAAGGUUAAUAACCUUGGCGAUUGACGUUACCCGCAGAAGAAGCACCGGCUAACUCCGUGCCAGCAGCCGCGGUAAUACGGAGGGUGCAAGCGUUAAUCGGAAUUACUGGGCGUAAAGCGCACGCAGGCGGUCUGUCAAGUCGGAUGUGAAAUCCCCGGGCUCAACCUGGGAACUGCAUUCGAAACUGGCAGGAUAGGGGCUUGUAGAGGGGGGUAGAAUUCCAGGUGUAGGGGUGAAAUGCGUAGAGAUCUGGAGAAAUACCGGGGGCGAAGGCGGCCCCCGGGACAAAGACUGACGCUCAGGUGCGAAAGCGUGGGGAGCAAACAGGAUUAGUACCCCAGUAGUC